GCAUGGGAGACACCAUGAUGAAGAAGGUGGUUCACCCAGGGCGAGGAUAGGCCAUUGCACUCCAGCCAUGCUGACCCCCAUCUUCGGGGAUGUGCCGUAUGGAAGUGC
rnacentral:snRNA from 1 species